rnacentral:rRNA from 2 species
UACGGAAGGUCCAGGCGUUAUCCGGAUUUAUUGGGUUUAAAGGGAGCGCAGGCGGACCUUUAAGUCAGCUGUGAAAUACGGCGGCUCAACCGUCGAACUGCAGUUGAUACUGGAGGUCUUGAGUGCACACAGGGAUACUGGAAUUCAUGGUGUAGCGGUGAAAUGCUCAGAUAUCAUGAAGAACUCCAAUCGCGAAGGCAGGUAUCCGGGGUGCAACUGACGCUGAGGCUCGAAAGUGCGGGUAUCAAACAGG